CCCCUCUCAGGGUCACACCUGGAGAGUUCCCAGUACUCUACCACUUUCGACUAUGGGAGGGAAAGUCAGACAGAGGCAUACCCAUUCCAUUCCUAGGUUGGCAGUGGCUAGUGAGUGGAAGGCAAUCUGCUAUAAGC